rnacentral:rRNA from 1 species
AUUGAACGCUGGCGGCAUGGCUAAAACAUGCAAGUCGAACGCGAAAGCACUUCGGUGCAAGUAGAGUGGCGAAAGGGCGAGGAAUAAGUACCUAACGUGCCUUCAGGUAAGGGAUAGCUCAUGGAAACGUGUGGUAAUACCUUAUAAUCUCAUUUUCUCAUAUGGGUUGAUGAGCAAAGGCUUGCUGCCUGAAGAUCGGGGUACUUCCUAUCAGCUUGUUGGUGAGGUAACGGCUCACCAAGGCGAAGACGGGUAGCUGGUGUGAGAGCACGACCAGCCGCAUCGGGACUGAGACACUGCCCGGACUCCUACGGGAGGCUGCAGUAACGAAUAUUCCGCAAUGCGCGAAAGCGUGACGGAGCAAUGCCGCGUGUGGGAUGAAGCAUCUAGGUGUGUAAACCACUGUCAGGGUUUAGGAAACAAAUGACCAGACCCAAAGGAAGAGCCGGCUAACUCUGUGCCAGCAGCCGCGGUAAUACAGAGGGCUCAAGCGUUAAUCGGAAUCACUGGGCUUAAAGGGUCCGCAGGCGGAUCGGUAAGUAUCUUGUGAAAUACCAUGGCUCAACCAUGGAAUUGCUCGGUAAACUGCCAAUCUUGAACACGGUAGGGGCCAUCGGAACUCUAGGUGGAGCGGUGAAAUGCGUAGAUAUCUAGAGGAACGCCAGAGGCGAAGGCGGAUGGCUGGGCCGUUGUUGACGCUCAGGGACGAAAGCAUGGGUAGCGAACGGGAUUAGAUACCCCGGUAGUCCAUGCCCUAAACGAUGUGCACUAGGUCGCGGAGGUUUUGACGCCAUCGCGGCUGAAGUUAAAAUAUUAAGUGCACCGCCUGGGGAGUACGGUCGCAAGGCUAAAACUCAAAGGAAUUGACGGGGGCUCACACAAGCGGUGGAGCAUGUGGCUUAAUUCGAAGCAACGCGAAGAACCUUAUCCAGGGCUUGACAUGCACGGAUUAUUGAUCCGAAAGGUGAUAAACGCUCAUCCCUAAUGAAUUCCCGGCCCCUGCAGUCGACCAUUUGG